rnacentral:rRNA from 1 species
CCUAGGGUGUCUGCAGUGGGGAAUAUUGGACAAUGGGCGAAAGCCUGAUCCAGCCAUGCCGCGUGUGUGAAGAAGGCCUUCGGGUUGUAAAGCACUUUCAGUGGGGAAGAAAGCCUUGGGGCUAAUACCCUCGAGGAAGGACAUCACCCACAGAAGAAGCACCGGCUAACUCCGUGCCAGCAGCCGCGGUAAUACGGAGGGUGCGAGCGUUAAUCGGAAUUACUGGGCGUAAAGCGCGCGUAGGCGGUCUGAUAAGCCGGUUGUGAAAGCCCCGGGCUCAACCUGGGAACGGCAUCCGGAACUGUCAGGCUAGAGUGCAGGAGAGGAAGGUAGAAUUCCCGGUGUAGCGGUGAAAUGCGUAGAGAUCGGGAGGAAUACCAGUGGCGAAGGCGGCCUUCUGGACUGACACUGACGCUGAGGUGCGAAAGCGUGGGUAGCAAACAGGAUUAGAUACCCUUGUAGUC